rnacentral:lncRNA from 1 species
AUUUAUUCCUCAUGAAAUGAUAAUAAUAGUAAUAAUUGACUGCAAGUCCCUUAACAGAUUGAUUUUGUUUGUGAAAUGGCAAUACUAUUUUUUUUAGAAAAUAAAAUGCCAUACAAAGGAAAAUGACUGGGUGAACUGAACUCAAGUCCUCUUAAGGAAAACAGAGUUUAAGGACAUGAAUGCAUUGGAACUGGAAACAGAAAGUGCCAAGUUUAAAUCCUGGUCCAGCAGAGAGAAGGGCCCUGGACCUGAGAUCAUCCAUCAUCAACAACCUCUCUGCCAAGAAAAGUCCAAGGCUACUUCCUUAGGAAGGGUCUUUGGACCAGGGCAUUUCAGUAAGAAGGGGAAAAUUGGACAUGACUGGCACUUAAACAAACCCAACAGGUGCAGACUGUAAAUUGGCAAAGUGACAUCAUCAAUAGAAAAUCAGACUGCAGAAAUCGAGAAACUUGGCAUAGCCCUUCUCUUUCCAGUCCACUUGACCUGGUGCUAACCAUACAACUGCCGUAAGCCUUAAUUUUCUCAUGGAGAUGGAAACGGGUUAUUGGGAAAUUCAAAUCAGAUAAUUUAUGUGAAAAUAUGUUAUAAUCUCUGAGAUGUAAAGCGUGACCACCGGAGUUUAAAAAGAAUAGAAGCAAGAAAACAAGCUGAGUCUCCAACUUGCCGGGGAAGUGAACACACUCCAGGAAAGAAAUUCACUCAAUGGUGAGUAGAAAAUGUACCAUGUUCAAGGCUUUUUUUUAUUAUAACAUCCAACAUCUUUGACAAAUUACAAAUAGAACACAGUGGUUGAUUAAGUAAGCGGUGCUAUGGUGAUGGUAAAAGCUAUCCACUAAUCUUUUCAUAAAAGACAAAUGGCCAAGUGGGGAUUUCUUUUAACAAAGAAUCAAGGGGGCCUUUAGAAACUGAAGGAUCAGAUUGUAAAGUCGGAAGCAUUGGCCUCUGUAACUGUAAUCUCCCUUUUUAAAGCUAUGUUUUCAAAGUCUUGCUGGUUGGCAGACAAGCAAAACUCAGAGCAUAUUCAUGAAAGAACAGACUGAGGACUUGCAAAGACUUUGGAGACAGGAGACCUGUGUCCUGUUCUGCUCCUGAC